AUUGAACGCUGGCGGCAUGCCUUACACAUGCAAGUCGAACGGCAGCACGGGAGCAAUCCUGGUGGCGAGUGGCGAACGGGUGAGUAAAGUAUCGGAACGUGCCCAGUCGUGGGGAAUAACGUAGCGAAAGUUACGCUAAUACCGCAUACGAUCUAUGGAUGAAAGCGGGGGAUCGCACGACCUCGCGCGAUUGGAGCGGCCGAUAUCAGAUUAGGUAGUUGGUGGGGUAAAGGCUCACCAAGCCGACGAUCUGUAGCUGGUCUGAGAGGACGACCAGCCACACUGGGACUGAGACACGGCCCAGACUCCUACGGGAGGCAGCAGUGGGGAAUUUUGGACAAUGGGCGAAAGCCUGAUCCAGCCAUGCCGCGUGCAGGAUGAAGGCCUUCGGGUUGUAAACUGCUUUUGUACGGAACGAAAAGGUUUGGCCUAAUAAGCUGAGCUCAUGACGGUACCGUAAGAAUAAGCACCGGCUAACUACGUGCCAGCAGCCGCCGUAA
rnacentral:rRNA from 1 species